UCACUACUCCCUCCGUCCGAAAAUACUUGUCCUCGAAAUGGUUGUAUCUAGACUUAUUUUAGUUAUAGAUACAUUCAUUUUAUUUAUUUUUAGGACAAGUAUUUUGGGACGGAGAGAGUAUUAG
rnacentral:pre_miRNA from 1 species